CCCCCUCCACUCCCCCACCCUUCACCCCCCUUCUCCCAAUAAGCUGUUUCUGAUAUAUGUUGGGUACCAUAGAGUGAGGCUGAGAACAGGAAGCGGAGGCAGAAUCAGAGAGGAUUCUGGAAAGGUCUCUGUGUUGUCUUUUCCACUGAGAAUACAGAAAUUAUAAUUAAUUAGUAAAGCUUUGUGGCUUUACUGUGGAAAUCUGGACAAUUUCAGGAGGAAACAUUAUAUUAUCAUAUUAUUUUUGGAUGCUGGGCUUUGCAGUGAUUUAUCAUUCUCUUUCAAUAAGGAAUAAGAAAGAAAAUAAGGACAAAGUAAAAAAAAAAAGAAAAGAGCCAGAAAUAAAACUAGUUCCAAUGAGAAUAAAUAUCACCAGAAAAUCUCAUCGCGAUCUCAAUGGCUGAAGAUUAAAGUUUGCAAAAUUCUCUUUGCUCUUAGGUUGGAAAAAUGUGGCUAUGUGAAUACGUAAACUUAUAUUUGUUCUACUGCAAUUAAUUUUGAGAAGCUCUGGGCCCAGGAAAAAAGAAUGAGAAGGGCAUGAAGAAACUUCAGUCUUGAAAAAGCUUCAGCUCCCACGGAGAAACUUUUCUUACCAGUUCCAUUUUCUGCUAGAAAUGCAAGCUUUUUCUUUUCACUAUAGCAAAUAAUCUAGGGGCUAAAUUCUGAGAUUUGCCAUUUCUCAGAAACAUAAAGGUAAGCCUAUCCUUUCUUCUCAGCCAGACAAAAUGUUUCUGUUCAGAUGAUGCCCAUUUGUUAUGAUGCCAUAUAUCUUCUCUAAAGUAUCAGUGGGAAAAUGAAAUGUCAGUCUUUACUGAGGUCUACCUAUAGUAAUUUGUGUUAUUAGGUAAUUACUGAAGAUACUUUCCACCAGAAUGUAGGAAACUUUUA
rnacentral:lncRNA from 1 species